rnacentral:rRNA from 1 species
GAUGAACGCUAGCUACAGGCUUAACACAUGCAAGUCGAGGGGCAUCAGGAAGAAAGCUUGCUUUCUUUGCUGGCGACCGGCGCACGGGUGAGUAACACGUAUCCAACCUGCCCUUUACUCGGGGAUAGCCUUUCGAAAGAAAGAUUAAUACCCGAUGGCAUAAUGAUUCCGCAUGGUUUCAUUAUUAAAGGAUUCCGGUAAAGGAUGGGGAUGCGUUCCAUUAGGUUGUUGGUGAGGUAACGGCUCACCAAGCCUUCGAUGGAUAGGGGUUCUGAGAGGAAGGUCCCCCACAUUGGAACUGAGACACGGUCCAAACUCCUACGGGAGGCAGCAGUGAGGAAUAUUGGUCAAUGGGCGUUAGCCUGAACCAGCCAAGUAGCGUGAAGGAUGAAGGCUCUAUGGGUCGUAAACUUCUUUUAUAUAAGAAUAAAGUGCAGCAUGUAUACUGUUUUGUAUGUAUUAUAUGAAUAAGGAUCGGCUAACUCCGUGCCAGCAGCCGCGGUAAUACGGAGGAUCCGAGCGUUAUCCGGAUUUAUUGGGUUUAAAGGGAGCGUAGGUGGACUGGUAAGUCAGUUGUGAAAGUUUGCGGCUCAACCGUAAAAUUGCAGUUGAUACUGUCAGUCUUGAGUACAGUAGAGGUGGGCGGAAUUCGUGGUGUAGCGGUGAAAUGCUUAGAUAUCACGAAGAACUCCGAUUGCGAAGGCAGCUCACUGGACUGCAACUGACACUGAUGCUCGAAAGUGUGGGUAUCAAACCAGG